rnacentral:rRNA from 1 species
UACGGAGGGUGCAAGCGUUGUUCGGAUUUAUUGGGCGUAAAGCGCGUGUAGGCGGUUUCUUAAGUCUGAUGUGAAAGCCCUGGGCUCAACCCAGGAAGUGCAUUGGAUACUGGGAAACUUGAAUACGGGAGAGGGUAGUGGAAUUCCUAGUGUAGGAGUGAAAUCCGUAGAUAUUAGGAGGAACACCGGUGGCGAAGGCGGCUGCCUGGACCGAUAUUGACGCUGAGACGCGAAAGCGUGGGGAGCAAACAGG